UCGAUUCCGGAAUCUCAGUACUUGUGAACUCAAUAGUUCUUGGACCGCGGGUGUAUGCGGCGAUGUUCCUCUCCCACCGGAAGAACUUUGAGGAUUAUGACUAAGCAAGAACAAAGAGCGCUAGGGUGUACGCGGCAUGUUCCUCUCCCUAUCGGGGGUCUUGGCUAUGGGUGUACGCGGCUAUGUUUCCUCUCCCACUGGC
rnacentral:lncRNA from 1 species